rnacentral:rRNA from 1 species
AACUUGCUCCCUGAUGUUAGCGGCGGACGGGUGAGUAACACGUGGGUAACCUGCCUGUAAGACUGGGAUAACUCCGGGAAACCGGGGCUAAUACCGGAUGGUUGUUUGAACCGCAUGGUUCAGACAUAAAAGGUGGCUUCGGCUACCACUUACAGAUGGACCCGCGGCGCAUUAGCUAGUUGGUGAGGUAACGGCUCACCAAGGCGACGAUGCGUAGCCGACCUGAGAGGGUGAUCGGCCACACUGGGACUGAGACACGGCCCAGACUCCUACGGGAGGCAGCAGUAGGGAAUCUUCCGCAAUGGACGAAAGUCUGACGGAGCAACGCCGCGUGAGUGAUGAAGGUUUUCGGAUCGUAAAGCUCUGUUGUUAGGGAAGAACAAGUGCCGUUCAAAUAGGGCGGCACCUUGACGGUACCUAACCAGAAAGCCACGGCUAACUACGUGCCAGCAGCCGCGGUAAUACGUAGGUGGCAAGCGUUGUCCGGAAUUAUUGGGCGUAAAGGGCUCGCAGGCGGUUUCUUAAGUCUGAUGUGAAAGCCUCCGGCUC